UACGUAGGGUGCGAGCGUUGUCCGGAAUUAUUGGGCGUAAAGAGCUCGUAGGCGGUUUGUCGCGUCGAUUGUGAAAACCUGGGGCUUAACUCUGGGCCUGCAGUCGAUACGGGCAGACUUGAGUUCGGUAGGGGAGACUGGAAUUCCUGGUGUAGCGGUGAAAUGCGCAGAUAUCAGGAGGAACACCGGUGGCGAAGGCGGAUCUCUGGGCCUUACCUGACGCUGAGGCGCGAAAGCUAGGGGAGCAAACAGG
rnacentral:rRNA from 1 species